CUGAAACUCGCCUCUUUGAAGUCGGAAUCGCUAGUAAUCGCAGAUCAGCAUGUUGCGGUGAAUACGUUUCCUGGUCUUGUACACACCGCCCGUCAAACCAUGAGAGUCGCCAACACCCGAAGUCCGCUUUGCGGCCUAAGGUGGGGGAGAUGAUUGGGGUUAAGUCGUAACAAGGUAAC
rnacentral:rRNA from 1 species